GACGAACGCUGGCGGCGUGCCUAAUACAUGCAAGUCGAACGCUUCUUUCCUCCCGAGUGCUUGCACUCAAUUGGAAAGAGGAGUGGCGGACGGGUGAGUAACACGUGGGUAACCUACCCAUCAGAGGGGGAUAACACUUGGAAACAGGUGCUAAUACCGCAUAACAGUUUAUGCCGCAUAGCAUAAGAGUGAAAGGCGCUUUCGGGUGUCGCUGAUGGAUGGACCCGCGGUGCAUUAGCUAGUUGGUAAGGUAACAGCUUACCAAGGCAAUGAUGCAUAGCCGAGUUGAGAGACUGAUCGGCCACAUUGGGACUGAGACACGGCCCAA
rnacentral:rRNA from 1 species